ensembl:rRNA 5S_rRNA 5S ribosomal RNA
GACCACAGCCAUAUUAUCCUGCUGCCCCAGACCGGUUACUCGCUGAAGCUAAGCAGGGCUGAGCCUGGUCACUACCUGGAUAGGAGACCACAUGGGAAAACUAAGUUGCUGUUGGAA